UUAUUUUGGUGGCUGAAAUUAGGCGGUAAAUUGUAAAUUUAUUUAUGACUGUGGUCCCUUGCGAAACUA
rnacentral:tRNA from 1 species